rnacentral:lncRNA from 1 species
ACGACUUUUAAAUGAAUGGAUUGUAUUCGAUUCAUUUAUCAUCCAUUUAUAUAACGAAUUCUAAAUGAAUAAACAAAUCAAUGAACCUCAAACCUGAAUUCCAUUUUCAAAUUCACCUGUUUAUUAAAUGAGUCAAUUUUUUUUAUAACCAAAUCCACUUAAUUCGCAUCGAAUCAAAUAAAAUAAACAAAUCUUGACCUAAAUUACUACCCCUAAUUAAAAUUAAGAAACCCUAAAACUAAAAAAGGUGAACCCGAUCCCUCGUCUCUCUCAACUGUCACCACCUGUCAGCGACUCAUCUUCAGCCCAUCUGCCAUGCCAAAUCACCGUGAUGGGCCACUAAUCGUCUCCCUCAGCCAUCAUCUGUCAUCCACCCGUCGGUUGUCACUUUCUAUCAGCAUGACAAUAAUCUUCGUUGGUGAUGCAACUCCCACCUUAAAGCCUCUCAGUUAUCGUAGCUCCCGUUUGACUCGUCUGCUGUUAGCUCCUCACUUGAUGUUGACUUCAGCUCUUCAUAGUUUCAGCUUGUAGCAUUUCUUAAUUUUGAAUUUCUAACUUAUUGAAUCUGUUAGUGCUAUUACUGAUAUGAUGAAUUGAUCAUUGUGAUUUGUGAAGUGAUGAACCGUUAUUAAGUAUUAAUGACUUAACAUUACUAUUACUAUUUUGGUGGUUAAAGCAAUUGACUGCUACGGUUGAUUGGUGACUAUGAUUUGUGAAGUAAUGAACUAUUGGUAAGUGUUAAUGACUUAAGUUUUUGACACAAUGACUUAAUGUUUCUAAAACUGUUUUGGUGAUUGAAGCUACUAAUUUGUUGAUUAUAUUAGUGUUUGAAUAUUAUGGUGAAUUAGUGAUUGUGCUUUGUGAAGUGGUGAACUGCUAUUCUGAAAACUUAAGUUCUAUUUUGACUUGAUUAAAGCUCUUUUAUUUGUAUCUGUAAUAUGAAUACUGCAACCUAAAAUUGGCACUUUAACCCGAAAUUGCAACUCAAGCCAUAAUUGUAAUCGAAAUUACAACCCGAAUCGAGACCAUUAAAUGAAACUUACCCAAAUUGAACUGAAUCAAAAUAGCUUUUGAACCGUUUGGGUUGAAUUUUUGAAUCCGAAUGGGUUUCAAUUCGAAUCGAAAACCGAGAGACCAACCCCUAAUUGCACUGAUUAUAAAAAAAGAAAAAGUAGUUUUUUAAAAAAAAUUCCAAUUGCUACUUUUUUGGUACUAUAUUUUUGAAUGCAGGGGUAAUUUAAUAAUUUACUGUAUGUUGAGUCAUCAGGUUUAGCUAUUUAAUUGCCUUAAAUAAAUCCUAUUUAUUAGGAAAGUAACUGUUAGCUUAAAUAUUUCUUCUCCAUGAUUCACGAUCUGUUAGAGUGGAAAAUGGGUAGUUUGUUUUUCAGUUUUCUUCCCCUGCUUUUGUACGACUAUAAGUCAAUUAUUUUGCAUUCGAAUCAAAUAAGAAUUAUUCUGCAAUUCUACAGAGUUGUGUGCAAAGCCUCUUAUACCCAACAAAACUGGUAUCAGAGCCUAAGGAACUGCAGUUUUCUUAGUGAGAUUGAUAUUGCAGAAGAGUAAAACACGAGUUUGAGUGUCAAGAAGAUAUUCUGAAAGAAGUUCUUUUGCUAUGGCAACAGAGAAUAGCUUUGUUCAACCUUCCAUACCUCGGUUUGAUGGUUUUUAUGACCAUUGGUCAAUGUUGAUGGAGAAUUUUCUGAGAUCGAAGGAAUACUGGAGCUUGAUAGAAACUGGGAUUCCCACAGUUGCAGAUGGAGCUCAACCUACAGCAGCAGAACGCAAAGCCAUUGAUGAGGCAAAACUCAAGGAUCUGAAAGUGAAGAAUUACCUGUUUCAAGCCAUUGACAGAACCAUCAUUGAAACCAUCCUCAAUAAGGAGACAUCCAAGAGCAUUUGGGAGUCAAUGAAGCAGAAAUAUCAAGGAACUACACGGGUGAAACGAGCGCAGUUACAAGCACUUCGCAGAGAAUUUGAGAUACUGCAGAUGAAGGGAGGAGAAACUGUAGAUCAAUACUUUGGUCGGACAUUAACCAUUGUUAAUAAAAUGAAAGCUCAGGGUGAAGAUAUGAAGCCCAUUGUUAUUAUCGAGAAGAUUUUGAGAUCAAUGACUUCAAAAUUCAACUAUGUAGUCUGCUCUAUUGAAGAAUCUCACGAUCUCACCACAAUGAGCAUUGAUGAGCUUCAGAGUAGUUUACUUGUUCAUGAGCAAAUGAUGCAAACUCCUUCAGUAGAAGAGCAGGCUCUUAAGGUGACACAUGAAGACAUAAGUGGAGCAAGGGGCAGGGGAAGAGGAGGCUUUCGAGGUAGAGGAAGAGGAAGAGGUAGACAGCCAUUCAACAAAGCUUUGGUGGAAUGCUACAAUUGUCACAAAUUAGGACAUUUUCAAUAUGAGUGUCCACAAUGGGAAGGAGGUGCCAAUUAUGCAGAAUUAGAUGAAAGUGAAGAAAUGCUUUUGAUGGCAUAUGCUGACUUCAAUGAUGACAAGAAUAAAGAGGCUUGGUUUCUUGACUCGGGAUGCAGUAAUCACAUGAGCGGAAGCAAGGAAUGGUUCACUGAUAUUGAUGAACAAUUUCGUCAAUCAGUGAAGCUGGGCAAUGACACAAAGAUGGCAGUAAAAGGAAGAGGUAAUGUCAAAUUUCAAGUCAAUGGAAUUACGCAAGUCAUCACAAAUGUGUAUUAUGUGCCAGAAUUAAAAAAUAACCUCCUAAGCAUCGGACAACUACAAGAAAAAGGGGUUACAAUAUUAAUUAAAGAUGGGGUGUGUGGAGUUUAUCAUCCAAGGAAAGGGUUGAUCAUGCAAACUACAAUGUCCACCAACAGAAUGUUUGUCAUCCUAGUGACAAAGUUGCCUACAAACUCAACCUGCUUUCAAGCUAUUUCUGAGGAUAACACACAUUUGUGGCAUUGUCGUUAUGGGCAUCUCAGUUUCAAAGGAUUGAAAACUUUGCAGCAUAAAGAGAUGGUGAAGGGGUUAACUGUAAUGAAGAUGCCGAGUAAGCUAUGCACAGAUUGCAUGAUAGGGAAGCAACACAGGAAAUCAAUACCAAAGAAAAGCUUGUGGCGAGCUACACACAAGUUACAAUUGGUGCAUUCUGACCUCUGUGGACCUAUCACACCUGCUUCAAGUAGUGGAAAGAGGUAUCUAAUCACUUUCAUUGAUGAUUAUAGUCGAAAGGUGUGGGUUUCUUUUCUGUCUGAGAAAUCUCACGCACUUGAAGCUUUUAAAAUCUUUAAAAGUUCUGUUGAAAAAGAAACAGGUUGCUCCAUUAAAGGGCUUCGAACAGAUAGGGGAGGAGAAUUCACCUCGCAUGAGUUUACUGCAUUUUGUAGUGAACAUGGCAUAAACAGACAAUUAACAGCAGCCUAUACCCCUCAGCAAAAUGGAGUGGCGGAGAGGAAAAAUCGAACCAUUAUGAAUAUGGUUCGAAGCAUGCUAUCCGGGAAGAAAGUUCCAAAAUGUUUUUGGCCUGAAGCAGUUAAUUGGAUUGUUCAUGUUCUUAAUCGAAGUCCAACAUUAGUAGUCAAAUACAAGACGCCGGAAGAAGCAUGGAGCAAUCACAAACCAACAGUUCACUAUUUCAGAGUAUUCGGCUGUGUUGCUCAUGUCUUGGUACCUGAAGCAAAGAGAAAGAAACUUGAUGAUAAAAGCAUCAAAUGUGUCAUGCUAGGAAUGAGUGCAGAAUCCAAAGCAUAUCGUCUCUAUGAUCCUUCAACAAACCGAGUUGUGAUUAGUAGAGAUGUUGAAUUUGAAGAAGACAAAUGCUGGGAUUGGGGAAGAAGUACUGAAGCAGCAAAGCUGGAUGUGUUAGAUUGGGGAGAAAGUGAAGAAGAAAGCAAUGAUGAUACCUUUGAAAGUGAAGAAGAAGAAGGUGAUGAAGCUGCCUCAAAUGAUUCAUCAAGUUCAAGCCAAUCUUUGGGGGAAGAUCAGGAAGUAGGGAGGACACGGAGCCAACCCACUUGGAUGGAAGAUUUUGUAAGUGGAGAAGGUUUGUCUGAAGAGGAAGAACUAACCAAUUUUGUGUUUUUUACAUCUGUAGCCGAUCCAACCACAUUUGAAGAAGCAAACAAAAGUGCUCGAUGGAGAAAAGCAAUGGAUCAAGAAAUGGCAACAAUUGAGAAAAAUAACACUUGGGAAUUGACCACCUUACCUGUUGGGGCAAAAACUAUUGGAGUCAAAUGGAUUUUCAAGACAAAGUUGAAUGAAAAUGGAGAUGUUGAGAAGUACAAAGCCAGACUUGUGGCUAAAGGCUAUGCUCAACAAUAUGGGAUUGAUUACAAGGAAGUUUUUGCUCCAGUGGCUCGUUGGGACACCAUUCGAAUGGUGAUUGCUCUUGCUGCUCAAAAAGGCUGGAAUGUGUAUCAAUUAGAUGUGAAGAGUGCAUUUCUGCACGGGGAUCUCAAUGAGGUAGUCUAUGUUGAUCAACCACAAGGGUAUGUGAAAAAAAGAGAUGAACUGAAGGUUUAUAAGUUGAAGAAAGCACUGUACGGGCUCAAACAAGCUCCCCGAGCAUGGUAUAGUCAAAUUGAAUCUUAUUUCUUCAAACAAGGCUUUGAAAGGUGUCCACAUGAACAUACUUUGUUUGUGAAACAAAGUGAAGGAGGUAAUAUUCUCAUUAUUAGUUUAUAUGUUGAUGACCUCAUAUUUACUGGUAAUAAUGAGAAUAUGUUUGAAGAAUUUAAAAAAUCUAUGGAAAAGGAGUUUGAUAUGUCUGACUUGGGCAAGAUGCGUUAUUUUCUUGGAGUUGAGGUAGUUCAAAAUGAAAAUGGGAUUUAUCUUAGUCAGAAAAAAUAUGCAAAGGAGGUAUUGGACAGGUUUGGAAUGAGAGAGAGCAAUCCUUCUAAAAAUCCUAUUGUUCCUGGAUGCAAGUUGACUAAGGAUGAGAAUGGAGUGAAAGUUGAUGAAACUGAGUAUAAACAGGUAGUUGGGUGCUUGAUGUAUUUGGCAGCUACACGACCUGAUCUUAUAUAUGUUAUAGGUUUAGUGAGCCGCUACAUGGGGUGCCCGACAGAGUUACAUAUGCAAGUAAUAAAAAGGGUGCUCAGAUAUCUCAGGGGAACAGUGGAUUUGGGACUGCAAUACAAGAGGAAUGGAACAAACAAGUUGAAAGCAUUCACUGACAGUGAUUAUGCAGGGGACUUAGAUGAUCGAAGGAGUACAUCAUGGUAUGUUUUUAUGCUCAGUUCCUGUGCAGUUUCAUGGUCCUCUAAAAAGCAACCAGUGGUCACAUUGUCUACAACUGAAGCUGAGUUUAUAGCUGCUGCCUCUUGUGCUUGUCAAGGAGUUUGGAUGAGAAGAGUUCUUGAAAAACUUGGUCAUACUCAAAAUGAAAGCACUGUUAUUCACUGUGAUAACAAUUCAACCAUUAAGCUAUCCAAAAAUCCAGUACUUCAUGGCCGAAGCAAGCAUAUAGAUAUCCGUUUUCAUUUUCUCCGUGACCUGACCAAAGACGGAACAGUGGAGCUUGUGUAUUGCAGCACUCAAAACCAGAUAGCAGACAUCAUGACAAAACCGUUAAAGCUUGAAGUAUUUGAAGCACUUCGUGAAGGACUUGGGAUGUGUAGUGUACCAGAAUAAACUAAUUGCAAUUGUGCAGUCAGUUUAAGGGAGGAUAUGUUGAGUCAUCAGGUUUAGCUAUUUAAUUGCCUUAAAUAAAUCCUAUUUAUUAGGAAAGUAACUGUUAGCUUAAAUAUUUCUUCUCCAUGAUUCACGAUCUGUUAGAGUGGAAAAUGGGUAGUUUGUUUUUCAGUUUUCUUCCCCUGCUUUUGUACGACUAUAAGUCAAUUAUUUUGCAUUCGAAUCAAAUAAGAAUUAUUCUGCAAUUCUACAGAGUUGUGUGCAAAGCCUCUUAUACCCAACACUGUAUUUAUAUAGUUUUUACAUUUUACUGGUUUAAUUAUCAUUUUACAUAAUUAUAAUAAUUCCAUAGGCAAAUAGUCUUUUUACCAUAUAUACUUUAACAUAUUUUAAUUUUCUUAACAAUAAGGUGGUUAGUUGAUUUAAAAAAUAAAAAUUAAAUAGUACAGAGAUAUUGUUAGAAAUUUUUAGUGGCAGCGUGAAGUUGUAACAAAGUUGAGGCAGUGCAUAAAUAAUUGCAAUUUAAUUAAAGUUAAUGCACCAACCUAAUGCUCAUUAUAUUGUAAAUUCAUAUUUACCAAAUGAAAAUUUUCAAAAGGAUCUUACCACUAAUUGAAUGGAAUAAUAUCCUUCUUUGCUGACCUUAUGCUUUAUUGGGCAUCUAAUUCUUUGCACAUUUAGGUAGUAAAUUCAACUUCUCUAUAGCAUACCAAACUUAGAACUACCAGCCCAAGAAUUUAAUCUAAUUUUCUUUCAUCUAACCCAACUAUAAAGUCUAGUCAAGCAAACUUUUUGUUGUGAUAGUAAAAUACUCUUUUUUCUCAAAAUUUGAGUCCCUACAAUAAUAAAUUCAUUCUUUUUUCUAUAUACGUUUCGGUGGUAGGUAAAUUUCACUUUAUUAGUGUGUAAAUUUUUCAGCUACAUUAUAAUUUUACAAAUAAUUUUUGAGUUACAUUAUAAUUUUACAAAUUUGACUUUCGAAAUUUUGGUAGACCACGAAUUACAGCACCAAAAGACUUUUCAAAUGAGAUUUUACUAUUUAUUUGAAGAGCCUCAUCAAUCAAAAGAGUUCUAAGGACCAAUUAGUAAUGCUGUAACUUUUAAAAUAAUUAUUGUUAGUUGUGUGCCAUAAAAAUAAUUAGUUUUGAAGAGAUUCAAUUUAAUAUUUGGUAUUUAUUUUUAAAAGUACUAUAACUUUUAAAAGCAGUCAUAUAUGUUUGGUAAAUCUUAGUGUUAGACUACUGUAAAAAUGUAAAUGACUGAAUUGAGUAUAAUGUUAAAUAAAAUUUAUUUACACUUUUCUAAAAAAUUAUAUAAAAU